AAAACAUCGCCUCCUGCAACACCACAUAUAGGAGGUCCAACCUGCCCAGUGACUACAAGUUCAACGGCCGCGGUAUUUUGACCGUGCAAAGGUAGCGCAAUCACUUGUCUUUUAAAUAGAGACCUGUAUGAAUGGCCAAACGAAGGCUUAACUGUCUCCCCUUUCAAGUCAGUGAAAUUGAUCUACCCGUGCAGAAGCGGGUAUAAUAAUACAAGACGAGAAGACCCUUUGGAGCUUAAGGUACAAAACUCAACCACGUCAAACAACUCGAUAAAAAGCAAAAACUUUGUGGAAUAUGAAAUUUUACCUUCGGUUGGGGCGACCACGGAGAAAAACAAAACCUCCAAGUGGACUGGGAUAAUUUUCCUAAAACCAAGAGAGACAUCUCUAAGCCACAGAACAUCUGACCAAACAUGAUCCGGUCACAGGACCGAUCAACGAACCAAGUUACCCUAGGGAUAACAGCGCAAUCCUCUCCCAGAGUCCAUAUCGACGAGGGGGUUUACGACCUCGAUGUUGGAUCAGGACAUCCUAAUGGUGCAGCCGCUAUUAAGGGUUCGUUUGUUCAACGAUUAAAGUCCUACGUGA
rnacentral:rRNA from 1 species